AGAGUUUGAUCGUGGCUCAGAUUGAACGCUGGCGGCAGGCUUAACACAUGCAAGUCGAGCGGAGAUGAGGUGCUUGCACCUUAUCUUAGCGGCGGACGGGUGAGUAAUGCUUAGGAAUCUGCCUAUUAGUGGGGGACAACAUUCCGAAAGGAAUGCUAAUACCGCAUACGUCCUACGGGAGAAAGCAGGGGAUCUUCGGACCUUGCGCUAAUAGAUGAGCCUAAGUCGGAUUAGCUAGUUGGUGGGGUAAAGGCCUACCAAGGCGACGAUCUGUAGCGGGUCUGAGAGGAUGAUCCGCCACACUGGGACUGAGACACGGCCCAGACUCCUACGGGAGGCAGCAGUGGGGAAUAUUGGACAAUGGGGGGAACCCUGAUCCAGCCAUGCCGCGUGUGUGAAGAAGGCCUUAUGGUUGUAAAGCACUUUAAGCGAGGAGGAGGCUACUGAGACUAAUACUCUUGGAUAGUGGACGUUACUCGCAGAAUAAGCACCGGCUAACUCUGUGCCAGCAGCCGCGGUAAUACAGAGGGUGCGAGCGUUAAUCGGAUUUACUGGGCGUAAAGCGUGCGUAGGCGGCUUUUUAAGUCGGAUGUGAAAUCCCCGAGCUUAACUUGGGAAUUGCAUUCGAUACUGGGAAGCUAGAGUAUGGGAGAGGAUGGUAGAAUUCCAGGUGUAGCGGUGAAAUGCGUAGAGAUCUGGAGGAAUACCGAUGGCGAAGGCAGCCAUCUGGCCUAAUACUGACGCUGAGGUACGAAAGCAUGGGGAGCAAACAGGAUUAGAUACCCUGGUAGUCCAUGCCGUAAACGAUGUCUACUAGCCGUUGGGGCCUUUGAGGCUUUAGUGGCGCAGCUAACGCGAUAAUAGACCGCCUGGGGA
rnacentral:rRNA from 1 species